AGCGAACGCUGGCGGCAGGCUUAACACAUGCAAGUCGAGCGGGCACUUUCGGGUUUCCGCGGCGGACGGGUGAGCAACGCGUGGGAACGUACCCUCUGGUUCGGAAUAACUCAGGGAAACUUGAGCUAAUACCGGAUACGCCCUCUUGGGGAAAGGCUUGCGGCCGGGGGAUCGGCCCGCGUCUGAUUGCCGUGUUGGUUAGGUAACCGCACGCCCAGGCGGUGAGCAGUAGCUGGUCUGAGAGGAGGAUCGGCCACUCUGGGACUACGACACGGCCCAGAACGGGACGCGACGGAGCAGUAGGGAAUACUGGGGGCGGGGGGCAAGUGUGAUAACGCCACGUGGGGUGAGUGGUCAAGGGGUUAGGAUUGCAAAGCUCUUUGAUACGGGGCGAUAGUGACGGUACCGGAGGAAAAAGCGCCGGCUAACUACGUG
rnacentral:rRNA from 1 species